AAAACCUUUCACACCCCCACCUCUUUCUUUUAUUAUUAGGGCAAUCACUAAUCAUAUGAAAAUUACAAUUAUACCCCCCUUUCUUAGAGACAAUAUGAAACGAUAAUAUACAUGCCAAAGGCUCUAACUCAAACAUAUGACCAAGCCUAACAUAAACCCAAACCUAUAUGUGGACCACAUGAGUGGCUGGUGGCCCACACAUGUGGUCAUUAAUGUAUCAACACUCCCCCCUCAAGCUGGAGCAUAUAUAUCAUGAAUGCCCAGCUUGACAAAGAAUCUAUCCAAAAGAGCCUAACUUAAAGCCUUCUUAAUCAUGCCUACCACUUGGUCUUAGGACCCUCAUAUUUAUAAAUAGUAAAUACCUUAAAGUGUGAGGAUGUUUUGCUAAAGUAUGAUUAUCUAAAACUAAGAAAAGGAAAUUAGGUCCUAAAACGACUGAUUCUAUGUUUAUAGGAUACACAGAAAAUAAUGCAGUUUAUAGAUUCGUAGUUUUGAAAUCUAAGGAUAACAUUCUAGAUCCAAACACUAUUAUAGAAGCUAGAGAUUCAGUGUUCUUAGAAAAAAUCUUACCUAUGUAGGUCUGUAGAAAUAAAGGAAGUUAGUGGAACUGAACUUGUAUCAACUAGUAUAGGUAUAGACGAGAUAAAUGAAGAAGAAUUAGAACCAAGGAUGAGCAAAAGAGUUAGGAAAGAAACUAACCUAGGAGAUGGUUUCUACACAUUUCUAUUGGAAGAUGACACUCUUUCUUAAUCAGAAGUGCUCGACUCUCUUGAUGCAACCUGUUGGAAGGAAGCCAUCAAUGACGAGCAAGAGUCUAUUAUAUCAAAUGACACUUGGGAACUCGUAGACCUUCCACUUGGAAAUUAACUGAUAGGAUGCACGUAGUCAAAAGUGACAAAUCUCUUUAACAUUUUCUCAACGUAAUGAGAUUGCGAUAAGAUAAGACCGUCAUCUUUCCUGAUUACCUCGAAUAUACCUAAUAUCAUACUUGCUUCCUCUAAAUCUUUCAUAUCAGACUUAGAGUACAUGGAUUUCUUAGUUGCAACAACUAAUUUAACAUUAGUACUAGAGAUACAUAUCAUCUACAUAAAGAUAGAUAGUAAUACCAUAACUUUUUGAGACUUUAUUAUGCAUACACUUAUCUACAUCAUUUACUAAGCAUCCAUGGGACUUUAAAACGCUAUCAAACUUUUUAAGCCAUUGUUUUGGUGCUUGCUUCAGAACGUACAAUGACUUAACUAAUCUACACACUUUAUUUCAUUUCCUAAGAUUUGAUAACCCUCAGGUUGUUCCAUAUAUAUUUCUUCUUUUAACUCCCCGUUUAGAAAUGCCAUUUUAACAUCCAUUUGGUGUACCACUAACUUGUAUAUAGAUGCCAUUGCAACUAAUAUCCUAAUCAUUAUAAUCCUAGUUAUUGGAGAAUAGAUAGCAAAGCAGUCAAUUCCAUGAACAUCCGCUGCGAAACCUGAGCUUGCACCUUAACAUCUUCAACUAAAUUAAUUCGCAUGUUGCAUGGGCCAUAGCCUUGUAAUCUGCUUUUGCGCUUGGUUGAGUGACAAAACUUUGCUUGCUUUUUUAUAUUGCCGGAUUUUCCCCUACAAACAUGCAAUAACCUGUGGUAGACAACCUGUCAGAAGGAGAGCCAACUCAAUCUGCAUUAGAAAACCCUUUUUUACUCGAAGAUGUCGAUUUCAUUUGUAAAGAAUUCCACGGUCAAGAACUCCCUUUAAAUAUCUAAGUAUGGGAAGCAUGGCCUCCAUAUGAGACAUACGACGGUGGAGGAGACUGCAUAAACUGACUAACUACACUGACUGGAUAAGUGAUGUCCGGCCAUGUAAUCGUUAAAUAAAUCAAUUUGCCAACUAGCCGACGAUCUCCUUGGAUCAUCAAAUACCUCUUCAUCGAUAUUCAGCUUUGAACUAGUAUACAUGAGAGUUUCAACUGGAUAAGCUCCCAACAAAUUUGUUUGUUCUUAUAAAUCCAUCACAUACCUUAGUUACGACAAGUUAAUUCUCACAUUCGACCUUGCUACCUCAAUACCUGAAAAGUAUUGAAGGCAAUCUAAAUCUUUUAUGCAAAAGUGUUGCUACAAGAACUUUAACUCAAAAAUGCAUGUACUAUCACUACCAGUAGCCAUAAUAUCAUACAUGUUCAAGUUUCAAUUGACACGAUAGUACCAGUCUCGCUUUGUUAAACAAAAACUUAAUGAUUUGUGUAACUACGUUUCAUUCCAAAUUAAAGCACCACCUUACUAAAUUUGUCGAACCAAGCACGAGGAGACUGUUGUAAUCAAUACGUUGAUUUAUUUAGAUGUCAAAUUUUGUUUGACACCCCCUGAGCAUUAAAGCUGGGCGGUUGCUCCAUAUACACCUCUUCAAGUAGAUCCCCAUGAAAAAAGCGUUCUUCAGAUUAAGUUGGUACAACGGCUAGUUUAGAUUUGCAGCAAUAGAGAUCACCACGCUUAUGGAAUGAAGCUUCGCCACAAGGGAGAAGGUCUCAGAGAAGUCAAUUCCUAGAGUCCGAGUUUAUCCCUUUGCAACCAAUUGAGCCUGUAAAUGAUCCACAGGGCCAUCUGAAUUGUAUUUAACGGUAUAAUACCCAUCUGCACCCUACUGCAUGUUUUCCAGCAAGUAACUUAGCUACAGUUACAAGUUUGAUUUUGAUUAAGUGCAUGCAACUAUCUAUUUUUAUCAUAGCUCUUCGCUUCCACCCAUCACUUUCAAGAGCUUCCUGGCAAGGGUGGGGUACAAACAUUGAGGGCUAAGAGAAAAUUGUCGACAAGAAUGAGAUAAGCCAUUAAAGGAAACAAAAUUAGAGAUAAGUUGUUGGGUACAAGAGCAUAUACCCUUACAGAGAGCAAUGGGCAUCAUCUUCAAUCGACAGUACCGGUCAAGACUUAAGAGAAUGAUCUUUAGAUGGGGUGGCAAGAUUGAUAAAGGACAUGCAGGUAUGCACUCCACCUCUCUUAGAAUGUUUGGAGUAUACUUGCAGCGGUGGCGGAUCUGAAUGUUGCACAGGAACUCGCUCUACGGAUGAAGACGUGUCUAGCCAGAGGAAGAGUGAUGUAACCUUCUUCAAGUUGCAAUGAUCUUCCUCCCUUAGAGAAAUAUGGAGUACUUAAAAAAAAAAAAAACGUGACAUUAGUUGACAUGUAGUGUCUAUGAGUAACUGAAUUAUAACACUCGUAAACCUGUUGAGUAUAAGAGUAUCCUAGAAAAAACAUGCUUUACAGCCUUGGGUUCAAAUUUAUUAGAUACAUGGUCAAAUCGUUGUACAAAGCAUCCCAAAAACUUUAGGAGGAAUUGAUAAUAGUUGAUGGUGGGGAUAUAUGACAGAACAAGGAGAUUUACCACCUAAAGACAGAUGAAGGAAUCUGGUUUAUGAGAUAACAUACAGUCAAAACUGCAUCACUCCAAAAACCUUUCUAAACCUUCAUAUUUAACAACAAUGCCCUCACAACUUAAAAGUAAAUGCUGAUUUUCACGCUCAACAACUCUAUUUUGUUGUGGUGUGUGUGCACAUGAUGUUUGGUGAAUAAUUUCAUGGAUAAAAGAUGGGAACAAAAAUAGUUCAAUGUAUAUUCCUUAGCGUUGUCAGAUCUUAGAAUACACACUCUAGCAUCCAGCUAAUUUGGUAUUUGCAUUUGGAUUUCUUUAAAACAUGUAAAUACCUCAAGAACGAUUUGUCAUUAGAUAUAACCAUUUCAUUCUCGAGCAAUCAUCGACAAAGAUAAAGUAUAUAAAGGCAGAUUAGCUGGAAAUAUGAAUUGGACCCCAAACAUCUUAAUAUACCAAGUAAAAUGGUUUAUUUCUUUAUCCUCACGUGAAAGAAAAGACACUCUAUGAUGCUUAACUGACACAUACGAGAAAGAUGGUGCAAGAUUCUUCAAAUUAUUUAAAGAUGGGUGAGCAAAUCCUGGAAUGACACUGAUGGGAAGAGACAUUGGCCUACAAUGCAGCUCAAAUUCCUAAUAUUCCAGGAUCAAGGUAAUAGAGUUCUUUAAAUUCAUGUCCUCCACCAAUCAUCCUCCUUGUCUUUAGAUCUUGAAAUUCCCAAUAGGAAAGAUGGAAUUUGACAGAAUAGUUUAGAGCUUUGAUUAAUAUAUUGACAUAUAAUAAGCUUAAAGGAAACUUAGGAAUGUACAAAAUUGAAGAUAAUGAGAGAUUUGAAGUAGGACAAAUAGUGCCCACCCCAAAUACAGGAGUUGAUGUACUAUCAGCUAGUGUUACAGAAGAGAUGGAUGAAGACUAGACUAAUUGAGACAACAUACUAUGCUUAUUGGUCAUGUGAUCAGAAGUUUCACAUCAAUGAUCCAUGGGACACUCUUAGAAGUAAAACAAAUCGUACUUGAUUGGGCAAAAGUAGCUGUAGAGGAAGAGGCAUGGUUGGAAUGAUCUUUUAGAAGUUUGGCACAAUCUUCCUUAGACAUAGUAACUGUACCACCUGAAGUACUCAGCUUAAGAAGAUUGGCAGACUAAGACACAUACCCUUCAAAACCAUCAUCCAAUGAACGGACUUGAUUAGCCCUAGCUGGUUUUCCAAUUAGGUCCCAACAUGUAUCAACCGCAUAAUUGUUGAGGCUACAAUGUGUGCAAUGUUGAUUACCAUGACUAUGACCCUGGCCACUACCAAAAUUUGUGCCAUGACCACCCCAAGUAUUCCUACCUUUGACAUGACCUCCCCUUGAGUCUCUUCCUCCAAAUCGACCACCGUGACCUCAACCGCCUCGUAGAAGCUCAUAGAUACAAAUUACGUUCUUUUCACCCAAAUACAUCUUU